CUCUCCGCCAUUAACUCGGAGCCCGGCGCAGUGGAAAGCGGGCCAAGAAGCAGAGGUCCAGGUUCCAACUCUUGAUUCUAUCACAAAACACUGCACCCGAGGCAGCCAGGCAGCUUCCGAAGACCUCUUGGAUGCAGCAACAUCAGAGGGGUGAUUACCCCCAAUUGCCAAAGAGGUUUCCAGCGCUGGAAGGAAAUUUGGAGAUCAAGGCCGAGUUGGCCUCAGCCAAGUGAAAUGGGAAUCAGGACCAUUACAAAGAAAUUCAAUUAAAAUAAAAGACACAUCAUAAACUUUGACUGGAAAACUCCAAAUGGAAUUAAUAUUACGUUGGUCAAAUUACCUAGAUAAUUGCUUUCAUUUUUCAUUGCAUCUUGAUAGAAAGGACCAAGCUACUUAAAAAUGAGUCCCAAAAUGUAUCCAUUUCAUCUUCUCAAUGACUCCUAAAACCCUCUCCAAAUGACUCAGAUGCAUUAGCUAGCUAUUGCCACAUAACAUAUUACCCCAAAACCUAACAGCUCAAAACUACAACAAACAUCCUCCCCAGCUUUUGAUAUUUGCUGUCUUUUUCAUUUCAGGCGUGGGCCGGGUGAGGAUGUAGUGAUUUCAUGUUGCGGUUUUACUUUGCAUCUUCCUAAUGAUCAGUGCAACUGAACACUUCUUCCAUGAUGGUUGACAAUUUAGCAACCCUCUUCUGUGAAGUAUCCCCAUCUGUCCAUGGGGUUGUCUGUCUUAUCCUUCAUAAGCUCUAGUUCUCUGUAUUGGCUGAAUACAAGUCCUGUUGGGGAUAUACACAUAUAUUGCAACUAUCCUUCCCACUCUCUUGACAGUGUCUGUUGAUGAACAGAAUUUCUUGUUUUCAAUACAGUUCAAUUUAUCAAUUUCUCAGUUAGCACUUUUGAGCACUGUUUUAAGAAAUCUUUAGGCCGGGUGUGAUGGCUCACACCUGUAAUCCCACCACUUUGGGAGGCCAAGGCGGGCAGAGUUAGGUUAGUGCACUUCUGUUUAGGGAGUUAGGAGUUAGUGCAGGUUAGGAGUUUGAGACCAGCCUGGCCAACACGGUGAAACCCCGUCUCUUAAUAAAAAUACAAAAAAUUA
rnacentral:lncRNA from 1 species